GUUCUGUGUCCUUGUCCAUAGAGACACGCGGAGUGUCCUUAACACCCUCAAUGUACAGAAGAGUGUCCAGAGGAGGGAAUCACUUCCAAGUGAGAGCUGGGUCAUCCCUCUUUCCAGCCAGCCUCACUGCAUUGUCUUUCUUCCCAACGACCAAAGACCAAGCGGAGGAGGGGAGAGGACGUGGGUGCCCAUGGCAGGCUUCCUUGUUCCUCCUGCCAAUGAGGGAUCCCACGCUGCCCCUCAGCCUGGCCCUGCCAGGUCCUUCUGAGCAGGGUUCAAGUCCAUGGCAAGCCAGUGUCAGCAGCCCCCACCUGCUCCUCAGGGCGGCCAGAAGGCCCCAGGAAAGGGCAGAGGCAGUCUCAGCUUGAGUCUAGCCCCAAACCCUGUCACCAAUUUUGUUUCUAACUCUGUUCCUUCUCUCCCUGGGCAAUGAGAACGAGCCACGUCAUUGUGGAGUGGGGAGGAGGGUGCCAGGGACACAGGAACCACCAACGUCUAGAACCAUCCCUGGAACCCUAACUCUGGACUUCUGAGGUCUUCGGCAGUCACCGUCUUUCUCUGCCCAUAACUGGGCACUCCAGUCCCUGCCUUCCCUUCUCACACCUGAGUCCUUCCACCUAGCUCAGUACCCUGCGUGCACUGGGGACCAGCACUAUGUGGGAUGAGACCAGAACACAGACCCUGCUGUGAAGGCUCACGCACUAGGUCCUUCCCGCACUAGGGCGUUCUCUCGGGGCCCUCUGUUGGGCGGGGAGAACACAGCCGCUCCCAUGUAGCUUUCCCUUUUCUCCCCACUCUGCCUGGCGCCUCAGCCCCAGCACGGGGAAGCCAGCGUGGUUCCAAGCUGGGACGCUGGCCCUGUGCCUCCUCCCUUCCGGGUCUGCUCCUGCUCGGCUCCCCACCAUCUCCAUCAGAAGCCCACCAGACUGUCCGCCGUUUCCGGACUGCGCUCACAUUUCCACCCUCCUGCAGCGCGGUAUAUGUUGGUUUGUUCACGUCUCUCCCUCUCCCUACCCUGCUUCUCCCCUUGCAGGCGUGGACUCAGGUGGCAGUGGGGUUCAGCCUUCAUGCCGGGGACCCUGGUGGUGGCUGUGUCGAGGGUCCUGGGCCCUGGGGACCAGGGGGGGGGGGGGGCGGUGCAUGCUGCUUGGUGGGCCGAUGACCAUUCUCCGAUUCACUGGGACCCCAAGGGUGCCUGUCAGGCUCCCUACCCUUAGACACUUCUUCCCGUUCCCCCAGAUUGGAAGUCUUGGAUGGUGCCUAACCCAUUUCCUGGCAUUCACGUGAAUUAAUAAAAGACGAAUUCUUCUACUUUAAAAAUAGAAGCCAGGAAUUCCAACUUCCUGCCUACAAACGUAUCUGUACCAGUGUCUGUCUGCUGUCGCCACCCCAUCGGACUAGUACUGAGCACCAAACACCCACCCCGCACCCACCACGGCUAUCCUCUCCCUGGUUCUCGUCUCUUGGGCUGGGGGGGGGGCGGUCUCUCCUCUCCAUGGACAGCAGCACUCUCUGAGGUGUCUCCUCUGUCCUUUCAUAUUCUCUACAGGUGACCCCACCUGGCCCUCAGCUCUAGCCACUGCCAUACACCAGUGACAGGAGUCCUGACUUCCAAGGUUCCAGAGCAGCAGCCCCAGUGCCCAGCGUGCUCCAGUCAGCCCCAGGCCUCAGGCUCCACAUACCUGUUAGGGGCUGAACUAUGCCCCUACAAAAUUUGUCUGUUGAAGUCCUACCCCCUAGUACCUCAGAAUGUGACUGUAUUUGGAGACACAACCUUUAAAAAGGUAAUUAAGAUAAAAUAAGGUCAUACGGACAGGUCCUAUAUGCCUGGCAUCCUUCUUAGAAGAGGAAAUG
ensembl:lncRNA